UUCACGCGUGAUCCUUCUUCCCCUCGAGCCUUGCUCUAGCGAUUUCUCCUCCCGAUCUUCCGCCGUUGCCUCCACUCGAUCGUCGACGCCGGUUGCUUUGACACGCGUAGCAGUUGCCAUCCAACUGCGAGUUGCCGGCGCUCCACUUGCGCUAAGUUUUCGCGCGUGCCCUAGAGCCACCGUCAGGUCGCCUUUCCUUCUCGAUCUGAUGGCGCCGAGGGUACGACUUGAUCGUCGCUGAUCGCAUGGGAUCUGGUAUUGACAUCGUGUCUUCGAUGCUUGUUGUGUCGUUCUAUUACCAUCGCCGAUCGUUGCCACUGGACCGAGCCAAACGCCAUUUAAUCGCCGGUGUGGUUGUAGCCUUAACCGACCUUUUGCUUGUCUGGAUUUCCACGGCUACAGUGACAAGUUUUUCCCACUUCCUUCCAUCUCCGGUAGUGAUUCCUUGCCUUGCGGGAAUCUUGAAGAAAUGCCUUGAGAGUUCUUGUCUCCUUUGUUUGUGCCGGUGUCUCCCUAUCCUCUGCCCCAGCACAUUGCUGCAGCGACAACCUAAUUCCAUUCAGGAGAGAUCUUGGAUAUGGUAUAAGGGUAAGUCAAGUUCAAUAUUGAUUAACAUGGAUUGAUUUCAUACUUUGAUGUUGGGAUUAGCUAUGUGACUGAUCAGUGUUGCUCCGAUGAGGAUUAAACUAUGGGAGGUUAGCUGAGCAGAGAAUAGAGUUUCAGUGAAGGGAAGAAUUCUGGUGAUAUUUGUUUUGGGAGAUUAGCAACCCCACCUUGCACCGACUACCAAUUCUCAGCAGCCAACGUUUCUAGUUAUGGAUCAUCGGUUGAGGCAUCAGACUUAGGACUUGGAUUUGGGACGAGCGUCUUGACGUGGGAUUUCAGGACGUGAUCUAUGUAUUAAGGCGAG